CCCUUUGUCUAGUGGUUAGGAUGUUCGGCUCGGAACCCAAAGGUCCCCAGUUCUAUCCCCCUGCCGCCAAAGUGG
rnacentral:tRNA from 13 species